rnacentral:lncRNA from 10 species
AGAUACAUGCAGACACACAGACUCAUAAGACACACAUGUACAUACAGACACACAGAUACAUAUACAUGCAGACACAGACUCAUAAGACACACAUGUAUAUAUAGACACACAGACACAGAUACAUGCAGACACACAGACUCAUACAGACACACAUGUACAUACAGACACACAGAUACACGCAGAUACACAUAGACAUGGACAUACA